UCGAGAGCCAAAGGUGACAGC
rnacentral:miRNA from 1 species